GGAUAGCUCAGUUGGUUAGAACAUGGUGCUGAUAACACCAAGGCUGAAGGUUCGAUCCCCAUAUGAGACA
rnacentral:tRNA from 1 species